rnacentral:sRNA from 1 species
UAACCACUGUUUGUGAGUGACGAUAUGGU